GUGGGGAAUAUUGGACAAUGGGCGAAAGCCUGAUCCAGCCAUGCCGCGUGUGUGAAGAAGGUCUUCGGAUUGUAAAGCACUUUAAGUUGGGAGGAAGGGCAGUAAGUUAAUACCUUGCUGUUUUGACGUUACCGACAGAAUAAGCACCGGCUAACUUCGUGCCAGCAGCCGCGGUAAUACGAAGGGUGCAAGCGUUAAUCGGAAUUACUUGGAGCAAAGCGCGCGUAGGUGGUUUUGUAAGUUGGAGGUGAAAUCUCCGGGCUCAACCUGGGAACUGCCUCCAAAACUGCAUGGCUAGAAUACGGUAGAGGGUAGUGGAAUUUCCUGUGUAGCGGUGAAAUGCGUAGAUAUAGGAAGGAACACCAGUGGCGAAGGCGACUACCUGGACUGAUACUGACACUGAGGUGCGAAAGCGUGGGGAGCAAACAGGAUUAGAUACCCGUGUAGUCC
rnacentral:rRNA from 1 species